GGCAAGCUAUGACAUCUAUUAAGUAUUAAAACUUUUAGAUUCGGGCAACCAGACACAUUUGGACACUCAAUCAAGUUUUUGGAGCGACUGAGGUCAAGUCUCUCUAAAUUUGGCAAAUUCUGUAACAAUAUACAAUUGGCAAUUAGCAAUUCUGUAUUAAAACUUUUAGAUUCGGGCAACCAGACACAUUUGGGCACUCUAUCAAUUUUUUGGAGCGAUUAAGGUCAAGUCUCUCUAAAUUUGGCAAAUGCUGUAACAAUAUACAAUUAGUCAAACAAGUUAAUUAGUACAUUUUCUUAAAUCCUAGAAUUCCCAAUUGGCAACCACUAACAAAGGUAAGGAAACUUC
rnacentral:lncRNA from 1 species